rnacentral:rRNA from 1 species
GACGAACGCUGGCGGCGUGCUUAACACAUGCAAGUCGAACGAAGAGCGAUGGAAGCUUGCUUCUAUCAAUCUUAGUGGCGACCGGGUGAGUAACGCGUAAUCAACCUGCCCUUCAGAGGGGGACAACAGUUGGAAACGACUGCUAAUACCGCAUACGAUCUAACCUCGGCAUCGAGGAUAGAUGAAAGGUGGCCUCUACAUGUAAGCUAUCACUGACGGAGGGGAUUGCGUCUGAUUAGCUAGUUGGAGGGGUAAAGGCCCACCAAGGCGAUGAUGAGUAGCCGGGCUGAGAGGAUGAACGGCCACAUUGGGACUGAGACACGGCCCAGACUCCUACGGGAGGCAGCAGUGGGGAAUCUUCCGCAAUGGACGAAAGUCUGACGGAGCAACGCCGCGUGAGUGAUGACGGCCUUCGGGUUGUAAAGCUCUGUUAAUCGGGACGAAAGGCCUUCUUGCGAAUAGUGAGAAGGAUUGACGGUACCGGAAUAGAAAGCCACGGCUAACUACGUG